rnacentral:rRNA from 1 species
UAACAGGCUGAUGACUCCCAAGCGUCCAUAGCGACGGAGUUGUUUGGCACCUCGAUGUCGACUCAUCGCAUCCUGGGGCUGGAGCAGGUCCCAAGGGUAUGGCUGUUCGCCAUUUAAAGCGGUACGUGAGUUGGGUUCAGAACGUCGUGAGACAGUUCGGUCCCUAUCUGCCGUGGGUGUAGGAAUAUUGAGAGGAUCUGUCCCUAGUACGAGAGGACCGGGAUGGACGUAUCUCUGGUGGACCUGUUGUGGCGCCAGCCGCAUAGCAGGGUAGCUAUAUACGGAACGGAUAACCGCUGAAGGCAUCUAAGCGGGAAACCGACCUCAAAACGAGUAUUCCCUGAGAGCCGUGGUAGACGACCACGUUGAUAGGCCGGGUGUGGAAGAGCGGCAACGCUUGAAGCUUACCGGUACUAAUAACUCGAUUGGCUUGAUUGUUCUCAUU